UACUUAGGUGGCGAGCGUUGUCCGGAUUUACUGGGCGUAAAGGGAGCGCAGGCGGACUUUUAAGUGAGAUGUGAAAUACUCGGGCUCAACUUGAGUGCUGCAUUUCAAACUGGAAGUCUAGAGUGCAGGAGAGGAGAAUGGAAUUCCUAGUGUAGCGGUGAAAUGCGUAGAGAUUAGGAAGAACACCAGUGGCGAAGGCAGGUCUCUGGGCCGUUACUGACGCUGAGGAGCGAAAGCGUGGGGAGCGAACAGG
rnacentral:rRNA from 1 species